UACGGAGGGUGCAAGCGUUAUCCGGAUUCACUGGGCUUAAAGGGUGUGUAGGCGGGCUGUUAAGUCAGUGGUGAAAUCUCCGGGCUCAACCCGGAAGCUGCCAUUGAUACUAUCAGUCUUGAAUUCUGUUGAGGUGGGCGGAAUAUGUCAUGUAGCGGUGAAAUGCAUAGAUAUGACAUAGAACACCAAUUGCGAAGGCAGCUCACUAAGCAGCGAUUGACGCUGAGGCACGAAAGCGUGGGGAUCAAACAGG
rnacentral:rRNA from 1 species